rnacentral:lncRNA from 1 species
AUGUUACAUAACCACACACAGCUAUUGCACCACUGCUUAAACAACCUCAACACCAGGCAUUCUCAUAGUUCAACACUAAAAAGAGGAACAGGAACAAAAAUGUACAACACAAACAGCCCAUUGUUCUCAAAAGCAAACAUAGAACUUUGCAUACGCCUGUUUUGUUUAAGCCCGAUUGAAUUUUCCCUUAUCUUCAACCACAUGACUGUUUGGACUCUUAUUUUGACGGCACCCAUUCACUGCAGAGGAUCCAUUGAUGAGCAAAUUAUGAAAUCCUGAAUUUCACCAAAUAUGUUCUGAUGAAGGAACAAACUCAUCUAUCUUAAAUUGCCUGAAGGUAAGUACAAAACUUCAAGUUUUAAUAUUUAGGUGAACUAUUCCUUUAAAUGUUGUUAAUGAUAAUAUUAUUUAUAAUAAUCAUUUGUAGACAACAAUAACAGUGGUCAUUUUUAUUAUUAAUUUGCGUUUCACUUUUCAGAUUAACCAUUUGACCACCACCCCCGCCCCCUGCUUACACAUUAAAUUAAAAAGUGUAUUACUACACAAUCAUAUACACCAAGCACAGAUCAGCUCAAUCAACCUGCAAACAUCUGCCUGGAGGCCAUGAUUUUAAAAUACAGAACACAGAGCAGAAUUUAGGCAGCUGAGCCUGUAAACCUUUUGUUUCGAUCCACUGCUGCUGUGCUGCUGUCUUUUUGCAUUGCUUGCAUGUUUAACGUUCAGCAUAAAUGCAUUCGUGUAUCAAUAACUUUAUCUCCUGUAGCUUAAAAUAGCAGCAGAAGUGCUGAUGUUGACAUUGAACAUGUAGCUGCGAUAAACUGUCUCGCAGACAGGGAGACUGUGGGGAAUCUCUAGAGGAAAUAAAUUCACACAAAAUUGUUUCUUUCUGCUCUACUACUCACUCCUUGGUACAAGAACACCAUUCCCUGCUAAAAGUGAAAGUUUCUUUUAGCUUUGUAUGUUGAAUUCACACCUCACUAAAGAGAAUCAAUGACGUUCACUCUCACAUCUUUAAAUAGCCGUUUAGGUGCUGACGCUGCCACUGAAGUUGUUGCUGUAAUCGGCCACUCUGGGAGCCAAAUAUACUGUUGGCCUGCAUGAGCUGCUUGUGAUCAGUCAACUGCUGAGUAUAUGCGGGUCAUGUGCUUUGUUCAGCAGAAUUAAAUAUUUAAAAUGACAAAUAAAUGUUAUACAUUUUACUAUGAAUAUGUGCAGUUCUAUUAUGCAAGAUGAUUAGUUAAAAAAUCACUAAUUUAAAAAUAGUGAUAGAAAUAGUGUUCUUGCAGUGACCUGAGAACAUAUUCUGACGUAAUAGUAAUCUGAAAUCUUCAUUAAACCAAUUUAAAAUAGCUGUGUUCUAUCUGAAUAUAUUUUGAAAUGUAACUGAUUCAAGUCUUCAGUGUCACAUGAUCCUUCAGAAAUCAAAUAUGCUGAUUUGCUGCUCAAGAGACAGUUGUGAUGCUG